UUUAAUAAUUUAAUCAUUAUAAUAAAAAUUUAAAUAUAAUUAAAGCAUUUUCAUUGUUUAUAAUGUAUAAUGUACAAGCCUAAAUAUGCCCGGGCCCAAACCAAUAAAUAGGCCCAAUUGACAGCCCAAAACCCAAAUUAACCUAGCCCAAACAUUAAAAUUUCAGAAAUCCUAACAGCAUUUGCCCGCAACUGCCGCACAUCCUAACAACAGCCCCGCACAUGUCGCGCACGUUCGCCUCCACGUUGACUGGUCGUACCUGCAGCAAAAAGCAGAAACAAACAGCAAAUUUGCCCGUAGCCGCCGCACAUCCUAACAGCAGCCCCGCACAUGUCGCGCACGUUCGCCUCCACGUUGACUGGUCGUACCUGCAGCAACAAGCAAAAAGAAACAGCAACGAAAUAAUAGGAAUAACAGAAUAGAUUUGGUUUGAUUUUUUUUUCUUUCUUCUUUCCCAUUUUCGGCUAUAAAAGCCCAAUUCCAGGCAUUGUAAAAGAGGGGGGAAAUUCAGUGUAAAAGACAUACGAAAAUAGAGAGAAAAGAUUGAAAUACAAGGAAAAUUGAAGGUUAAUCGCGUUUAUUCUAUUUUCAUUUUUACUUAUUUUUUUUCUUUUCUUUUUAUUUUUUUUGUGAAAUAAUAGUAUAAAAGGGGAAAAGAGAGACUUACCUGGUGGUCGCGUUCUAUUCUCCGUCUCGAUCGGAGGCCAGGACGGCGAUUGAAGCCGUGGGAGGUUCAUGAACGGCGACUCCAAAGGUUUAGAGAAACCUUAAGAGAAGCUGCACUGCUUUAGAGGAAAAACAAAAUUUUUUCCCUAAUUUAUUUUUAACUUAAAAUAGAACAAAGAUGGCGCCGUUUAGUUUGGGGGUCUGCGCAUAUCAACCUUAAAUGGGAGAAUUGCGCAAUAAGUCUUCCCCCUUUGCGCCAUGUUUUAUUAAGCCAAUUAUUUCUUUUUAAUUUGGCCCAAAUGUUUUACCUUGUUUCAAAUCGGUCCCCAUUGCGG
rnacentral:lncRNA from 1 species